rnacentral:rRNA from 1 species
GACGAACGCUGGCGGCGUGCUUAACACAUGCAAGUCGAACGGAAAGGCCCUGCUUUUGUGGGGUGCUCGAGUGGCGAACGGGUGAGUAACACGUGAGUAAGCUUCCCUUGACUUUGGGAUAACUUCAGGAAACUGCGGCUACUACCGGAUAGGAGCUCCUGCUGCAUGGUGGGGGUUGGAAAUUUUCGGAGGUUGGGGGUGGACGCGCGGCUUAUCAGCUUGUUGGUUGGGUAGUGGCUUACGAAGGCUUUGACGGGUAGCCGGCCUGGGAGGGUGACCGGCGACAUUGGUCCUGAGGGAGGGAGCAGACGCCAACGGUAGGCAGCAGUGGGGAAUAUUGCACAAUGGGCGGGAGUCUGUGGCAGCAACGCUCGGUGCGGGAUGACGGCCUUCGGGUGGUAAACCGCUUUCGCUUGUUACGAAGCGGGAGUGACGGUAAUGGGUAAAGAAGCACCGGCUAACUACGUG